rnacentral:rRNA from 1 species
CCUACGGGCGGCUGCAGUGGGGAAUAUUGCACAAUGGGCGAAAGCCUGAUGCAGCGACGCCGCGUGAGUGAAGAAGGAUUUCGGUAUGUAAAGCUCUAUCAGCAGGGAAGAAAAUGACGGUACCUGACUAAGAAUCCCCGGCUAACUACGUGCCAGCAGCCGCGGUAAUACGUCGGGGGCAAGCGUUAUCCGGAUUUACUGGGUGUAAAGGGUGCGUAGACGGCGAAUGAAGUCUGCAGUGAAAACCCAGGGCUCAACCCUGGGACUGCUUUGGAAACUGUUUGGCUAGAGUGUAGGAGAGGUAAGUGGAAUUCCUGGUGUAGCGGUGAAAUGCGUAGAUAUUAGGAGGAACACCGGUGGCGAAGGCGGCUUACUGGACGAUAACUGACGUUGAGGCUCGAAAGCGUGGGGAGCAAACAGGAUUAGAUACCCCGGUAGUC